ACGCUCGACACCUACGGGAGACAGCAGUGGGGAAUAUUGCACAAUGGGGGAAACCCUGAUGCAGCGACGCCGCGUGAGCGAAGAAGUAUUUCGGUAUGUAAAGCUCUAUCAGCAGGGAAGAAAAUGACGGUACCUGACUAAGAAGCCCCGGCUAACUACGUGCUAGCAGCCGCGGUAAUCUGAGCGGGCUGGCAAGGC
rnacentral:rRNA from 1 species